GCGUGUGGUCUCAUUGGUUAGAGCGUAGGUCUUGUAACCGAAAGGUCGCGGGAUCGAAUCCUGCUAGAGGCU
rnacentral:tRNA from 1 species